rnacentral:rRNA from 1 species
AACGAACGCUGGCGGCAUGCCUAACACAUGCAAGUCGAACGGCACCUUCGGGACUAGUGGCGCACGCGUGCGUAACGCGUGGGAAGCUGCCCUUAGGUUCGGAAUACUUCCCCGUCAGGGGUGCUAAUACCGGGUAACGUCCUCUGACCAAACAUAGAUCGCCUUUGGAUGGGCCCGCGUUGGAUUAGCCUGUUGCUAUGGUAAAAGCCUACCAAGGCGUCGCUCGAUAGCUGGUCUGAGAGGCAGGGCAGCCACACUGGGACUAAGACGCGGCCCGGAAUCCUACGGGAGGCAGGAGUGGGGGAUAUUGGACAAUCGGCGAAAGGCUGAUCCAGCAAUGCCGCGUGAGUGAUGAAGGUCUUAGGGAUGUAAAGCUCUUUUACCCGGGAUGAUAAUGACGGUACCGGGAGAAUAAGCUCCGGCUAACUCCGUG